AAUUACCCACUCCCAGCACGGGGAGGUAGUGACGAAAAAUAACGAUACGGGACUCAUCCGAGGCCCCGUAAUCGGAAUGAGUACACUUUAAAACUUUUCCCGAGGAUCAAUUGGAGGGUAAGUCUGGUGCCAGCAGCCGCGGUAAUUCCAGCUCCAAUAGCGUAUAUUAAAGUUGUUGCGGUUAAAAAGCUCGUAGUCGAAUCUGUGUCCCGCGCCGCUGGUUCAUCGCUCGCGGUGUUCAACUGGCGUGUCUCGCGGGACGUCCUGCCGGUGGGCGCUCGUAUCGCUUCGGCGGUGCGUGGCCCAACUCGUAGUCGUCUCGCGCGAUUGCGAAUCCCAUCGCGGUGCUCUUUAUCGGGUGUCGAGGUGGGCCGGCACGUUUACUUUGAACAAAUUAGAGUGCUUAAAGCAGGCCAAUUUUGCCUGAAUAUUGUGUGCAUGGAAUAAUGAAAUAGGACCUCGGUUCUAUUUUGUUGGUUUUCGGAACCCCGAGGUAAUGAUUAAUAGGAACGGAUGGGGGCAUUCGUAUUGCGACGUUAGAGGUGAAAUUCUUGGAUCGUCGCAAGACGGACAGAAGCGAAAGCAUUUGCCAAAAACGUUUUCAUUGAUCAAGAACGAAAGUUAGAGGUUCGAAGGCGAUCAGAUACCGCCCUAGUUCUAACCAUAAACGAUGCCAGCUAGCGAUCCGCCGACGUUCCUCCGAUGACUCGGCGGGCAGCUUCCGGGAAACCAAAGCUUUUGGGUUCCGGGGGAAGUAUGGUUGCAAAGCUGAAACUUAAAGGAAUUGACGGAAGGGCACCACCAGGAGUGGAGCCUGCGGCUUAAUUUGACUCAACACGGGACACCUCACCAGGCCCGGACACCGGAAGGAUUGACAGAUUGAUAGCUCUUUCUUGAUUCGGUGGGUGGUGGUGCAUGGCCGUU
rnacentral:rRNA from 1 species